rnacentral:rRNA from 1 species
GACGAACGCUGGCGGCGUGCCUAAUACAUGCAAGUCGAACGCUGAAGAGAGGAGCUUGCUCUUCUUGGAUGAGUUGCGAACGGGUGAGUAACGCGUAGGUAACCUGCCUGGUAGCGGGGGAUAACUAUUGGAAACGAUAGCUAAUACCGCAUAAAAUGGAUUAUCGCAUGAUAAUCCAUUGAAAGGUGCAAAUGCAUCACUACCAGAUGGACCUGCGUUGUAUUAGCUAGUUGGUGGGGUAACGGCUCACCAAGGCGACGAUACAUAGCCGACCUGAGAGGGUGAUCGGCCACACUGGGACUGAGACACGGCCCAGACUCCUACGGGAGGCAGCAGUAGGGAAUCUUCGGCAAUGGACGGAAGUCUGACCGAGCAACGCCGCGUGAGUGAAGAAGGUUUUCGGAUCGUAAAGCUCUGUUGUAAGAGAAGAACGAGUGUGAGAGUGGAAAGUUCACACUGUGACGGUAUCUUACCAGAAAGGGACGGCUAACUACGUG